CCUCAUGUCCCAACCUUGGAUGGCCUUAAUCUAUGCAGAAAAAGAUAUAAAUGAUUGUCACUGCGGAGGCACACUAAUAUCAGAAAGAUUUGUUUUAACUUCCGCACAUUGCCUUGCAUUUUGUCCCCCAUCAAGCGAAUUCAAAGUUCGUCUAGGAGGAAACAACUUAACGAC